rnacentral:rRNA from 1 species
GGUACUGCCGUGCCAGGAGUGCGGGGAGAAGGGGGGGUGCAAGCGUUAAUCGGAAUUACUGGGCGGAAAGCGCAAGUAGGCGGUUGUCUAAGUCAGAUGUGAAAUCCCCGGGCGUAAUCUGGGAACUGCACCUGAUACUGGAAGACUAGAAUGUGGGAGAGGAGAGUGGAAUUUCCGGUGUAGCGGUGAAAUGCAUAGAGAUCGGAAGGAACACCAGUGGCGAAGGCGGCUCUCUGGACCAACAUUGACGCUGAGGUGCGAAAGCGUGGGUAGCAAACAGGAUUAGAUACCCGAGUAGUC